rnacentral:rRNA from 1 species
CAGAAGGAACGAUCCUACGGGAGGCAGCAGUAGGGAAUCUUCGGCAAUGGACGGAAGUCUGACCGAGCAACGCCGCGUGAGUGAAGAAGGUUUUCGGAUCGUAAAGCUCUGUUGUAGAGAAGAACGAGUGUGAGAGUGGAAAGUUCACACUGUGACGGUAUCUUACCAGAAAGGGACGGCUAACUACGUGCCAGCAGCCGCGGUAAUAUCACCCG